UGGGGCAUAUUGCACAAUGGGCGCAAGCCUGAUGCAGCCAUGCCGCGUGUAUGAAGAAGGCCUUCGGGUUGUAAAGUACUUUCAGCGAGGAGGAAGGCGUUGUGGUUAAUAACCGCAGCGAUUGACGUUACUCGCAGAAGAAGCACCGGCUAACUCCGUGCCAGCAGCCGCGGUAAUACGGAGGGGACAAGCGUUAAUCGGAAUUACUGGGCGUAAAGCGCACGCAGGCGGUCUGUCAAGUCGGAUGUGAAAUCCCCGGGCUCAACCUGGGAACUGCAUCCGAAACUGGCAGGCUAGAGUCUUGUAGAGGGGGGUAGAAUUCCAGGUGUAGCGGUGAAAUGCGUAGAGAUCUGGAGGAAUACCGGUGGCGAAGGCGGCCCCCUGGACAAAGACUGACGCUCAGGUGCGAAAGCGUGGGGAGCAAACA
rnacentral:rRNA from 1 species